rnacentral:rRNA from 1 species
AUUGAACGCUGGCGGCAUGCUUUACACAUGCAAGUCGAACGGUAGAGGGGGCAACCCCUUGAGAGUGGCGAACGGGUGAGUAAUGCAUCGGAACGUGCCCAGUCGUGGGGGAUAACGCAGCGAAAGCUGUGCUAAUACCGCAUACGAUCUCUGGAUGAAAGCGGGGGACCGAAAGGCCUCGCGCGAUUGGAGCGGCCGAUGUCAGAUUAGGUAGUUGGUGGGGUAAAGGCCUACCAAGCCAACGAUCUGUAGCUGGUCUGAGAGGACGACCAGCCACGCUGGGAGUGAGACACGGCCCAGACUCCGGCGGGAGGCAGCGGUGGGGAAUUUUGGACAAUGGGCGCAGGCCUGAUCCAGCAAUGCCGCGUGCAGGAAGAAGGCUUUCGGGUUGUAAACUGCUUUUGUACGGAACGAAACGGUCUGGGUUAAUACCCUGGGCUAAUGACGGUACCGUAAGAAUAAGCACCGGCUAACUACGUGCCAGCCGCCGCAGUAA